ACGGGAGGCAGCAGUGGGGAAUAUUGCACAAUGGGGGAAACCCUGAUGCAGCGACGCCGCGUGAGUGAAGAAGUAUUUCGGUAUGUAAAGCUCUAUCAGCAAGGAAGAAAAUGACGGUACUUGACUAAGCAGCCCCGGCUAACUACGUGCCAGCAGCCGCGGUAAUACGUAGGGGGCAAGCGUUAUCCGGAAUUACUGGGUGUAAAGGGUGCGCAGGCGGCACUUUAAGUCCGUGGUGAAAACCAGGAGCUCAACUCCUGACUUGCCAUGGAAACUGGAGAGCUAGAGUACAGGAGAGGAAAGCGGAAUUUCUAGUGUAGCGGUGAAAUGCGUAGAUAUUAGGAAGAACACCGGAGGCGAAGGCGGCUUUCUGGACUGAAACUGACGCUCAGGCACGAAAGCGUGGGGAGCAAACAGGAUUAGAUACCCGGUA
rnacentral:rRNA from 1 species